UUAAAAUGUAAUUAAAAAAAUUAAGGUAGUAGUAGUUAUGUUCUUGAAACUUAAAAAAUUUGGCGGUAUUUUAGUCUAUUCAGAGGAACCUGUUCUAUAAUCGAUAAUCCACGAUGGACCUUACUUAAGUUUGUAAUCAGUUUAUAUACCGUCGUUAUUAGAAUAUUUUAUAAGAAUGUUAAUUUUCAUAAUUUUUAAAAAGAAAAUAUAUCAGAUCAAGGUGUAGCUUAUAUUUAAGUAGAAAUGGGUUACAAUAAAUUUAUUUAUACGAAUAUAAAUUUGAAAUAUUUAUUGAAGGUGGAUUUGAUAGUAAAAUUAUAAAGAUUAAUAAUUUGAUU
rnacentral:rRNA from 1 species